rnacentral:rRNA from 1 species
UACAGAGGGUGCAAGCGUUAAUCGGAAUUACUGGGCGUAAAGGGCGCGUAGGUGGUUACGUAAGUGAGAUGUGAAAUCCCCGGGCUUAACCUGGGAAUUGCAUCUUAUACUGUGUAGCUGGAGUGCGAUAGAGGGUAGUGGAAUUUCCGGUGUAGCGGUGAAAUGCGUAGAUAUCGGAAGGAACACCAGUGGCGAAGGCGGCUACCUGGAUUGACACUGACACUGAGGCGCGAGAGCGUGGGGAGCAAACAGG